AAAAAUCAUACAAUUACGUUUGUGAAAUUUUUGGUAUUAGGGAGGGUUUAGGUUGAUACUUAAUUAUUCCAAUCAACAUGGCGGAAACUGAAUCAAAACCUUCUUCUUCUUUGAAGAAACCAAUUAGUGCAGAAGAAGAAGAACAAGAUUGGAAAAGGGAACUGCCACGUAAGUACUUGGCUGAUGAGAAUAAUGUCUGGAAUGAUGACGAUUUUAUCCCUAAAGCCGCUUCAGUUGAGCACCGUGAUCAAUUUCGCAAACUAUAUGCCAGAUACUUCCGUCAGAUUCUUCAAACCGAUGGUUUCGACAAUGACGUCUAUCCUGGUGAUGCUAAGGCAGCCCCAUAUAUCAGUGUUAUCAAAGGCGCGCUUUAAGCGCGCUUAAGCCCUGAAGCGAGACUCAAAACAUGUUGAGCGCUUCACCUCGCUUUAUGUGCGCUUCAGUGUCAUCAUCAAGGCUCUAAGACAUACUUUUCCUUGCCAAUGAGCCUCUCUUGGAGAGGUGACACUAGAUGAUUAAUAUUUCACUUUAUCCUAAUAUUUUUACAAUUUCUUUGUCCAUACAUUUGUUAUUCAUGCUAAUUAUUAUUAAUUUUGGACUAAACAUAUAUAUAUUUGUAUUUUUGCACCAUUGCGCUUUUUUUCAUUAAAGCCCACACUUCAUUUGCGCUUUGCGCUUCAAGCUCCAACUGACCUUAGAGCUUUUUUGCGCUUUUCGCUUUUGAUAACACUGCCAUAUAUACCAUAUUUGGAUUUUGAGCAAGAAGCUGAUAUGCUGAUGGAGCUAGCUAACCACGCUAUAGCGGAUUACAACAAUAAGGAAACCAGUGUUUACAAGUACAAGGUUGCUUAUCUUGAAAAAGUGAACUUCAUUUUGGCUGAAUGUCGUGAAUUUUUCAUGACUGUUAAAGUUAUUAAUCAGACUCUGCUUACACCACUGGAAACUUUUCAAAUCCAUCCAUAUAAAGGACAACAAGAGGAGAAUGUUGUCCGCCUUUGCAGAAAAAAGAUGAUGAUAUGAGCCUAUGAGGACUAUUUUGCAGUUGGUUUAUCUGCUAAGCUUAAUUGGAGGAAGAAGCAUCACACGGGGCAAGGAAAGAGACAGUUGGAACUAUAACUUUCUAAAUCUUAGAUUAAAGCGGUUAUUAUAUUGACUUCUUUAUUAGUUGUAGAAGUAUUUGAUAAAUUAGCCUAAAAAAUUACUGUAGUAUAUUACCUACACUGUUCUAGUUUUUAUGGAAUGUAUGAUUAUUCACUCAUC